rnacentral:rRNA from 1 species
CCAAUAGCGUAUAUUAAAGUUGUUGCAGUUAAAAAGCUCGUAGUUGAAUUUCGGGGUUAGUAGGUUGGUCAUGCCUCUGGUAUGUACUGGUCUCACUGAUUCCUCCUUCCUGAUGAACCUUAAUGCCAUUAAUUUGGUGUUUUGGGGAAUUUGGACUGUUACUUUGAAAAAAUUAGAGUGUUUAAAGCAAGCUAACGCUUGAAUACAUUAGCAUGGAAUAAUGAAAUAGGACGUUCGAUCCUAUUUUGUUGGUUUCUAGGAUUGACGUAAUGAUUAAUAGG